GAACCCUCAAAACUCCGCUCGCUCGUUUAUUCACCUUGGCAGAAUAUUCCCAGUGUGUUCGCCAGCCUCCUGAAUCAAUAUCCACAAGGUUAUAAUCCACAGUAAGAGCAUUAGCAUGGUCCUUGGCAAACGCACACCAUCAGUUCCACCAUUCCCACCUGGCUCUCAUUUCCGCGUCCUGCUUUCUCUCACCUAGUCACCUGUUCUUUUUAUUGCUUCCUAAUACCCCACCCUUCUCUUCAUAUCUUUUUUUACUUCCAUUAAUAAAAACACCACGGAAUGGAACGGACUCUGCUUCUGAGUCACUAAAUGGCACACUUAUAUAACACUUUUAUCCAAAGUGCUUUACACUGUGUCCCAUUUACCCAUUCACACACCAAUGGUAGCAGAGCUGCCAUGCAAGGCGCUAACUUGCCAUCGGGAGCAACUUGGGGUUCAGUGUCUUGCCCAAGGACACUUUGGCAUGUGGAGUCAGGCUGGCCGGGAAUCGAACGGCCAACCCUACGAUUAGUGGACAACCCGCUCUACCACCUGAUCCACAGCCGCCCCUGUUACUGUGCAGCUAUCUGUUACAAAUGAAUGGGAAAAUAUCCUUGGCAUCCCUGCAAUUCAAGGAUGUUGUAAUUGGUAAGUUGUGACGUCAAAAGUAUCUGUACCAAGUUGAUACUAAAAUUUUAAAAAGAAUGAUACGAUAAGGUUUUUUUCAGUACCGGCAGUACCAAGUAUUCUCCUGCUUUCUGAUUGACUUUCUUUUGUAGGUAUUAAUUAACUGUGAUUUCCACUCAGCCAUCUUACUGAAAUUUGUGUAGGUUAGGAAUAAGACUGAGGAUGGAGUUGUACAGUUUUGUAGUGUGUAUCAUUUGUAAAUAUUGUUAACUUCUUUACCAUAGCCAUGCUGAGGGAGGCGUUGACUAAAUUAGAGAUGGUGCUGGACCAACAAACCACUGAGCUUGCUUCAACUACAGGUGUUCCAGGUGCAGUCUUUGGAUACUGAUGAAGAUUUACUGCCCUGCAAGAUCUUCCUCAACUGCGUAGUCUGGAGCAAAGGAUGCAACAGAGCCCAGAUUGCAAGCAAAAACUGGGCAGAUGUGCUCGACUGCACCUGGCGCAUAUUGAAGAGGGUGAUUGCUAACUCCCUGGAAAGAACCUCAAUUGGAGGGGAGUCAAUGGAAAGACUUCACUGGCCACUCUCCAACUUGGAGAGGUCAUGAUUGGUUUAUGGAAGUGUGCCCUGCCUCGAUCAAAGGACAUUCCUGAGGACCUCAGAAAAAGAGAGUUGUCAAUGCUCACUGGCUUGGAAAGGGUUACAGAGCCAUUUCUAAAGAGUUUGGCUUUCACCAAUCCACUGUGAGGUAAAUGACAUACAGAUGCAGGAAAUUCAGCACCACUGUUACUCUCCCAAGGACUGGGCGUCCAGCAAAAAAGACCACUCCAAGGGUGUGGUGAAUAAUAUCACAGUAAGUCAUAAAGAACCCCAGGGUAACAUCGGAGAACCUACAGGCCACUACUUUCCAUAAAAGAACACUGCUGCCUGUCUGAAGUUUGCUCACAACCAUGUGGAAAUGCCAGGAGCCUAUUGGAAGAAUGUUCUGUGGACAGAUGAGUCCAGAACAGAACUUCUUGCUUUAAUUGAAAAUCAUUGUUUGAUGCAAACUGAAAAUAGCAUCCCAACAUAAGAACUUCAUCCCAACCGUGAAGCAUGGGGGUGGCAGCAUUAUGGUUUGGGGCUGCUUUGGGUCCGAACCAGCUUGCCAUUAUUGAUGGACCUAUGAAUCCUAGAUUGUACCAGGAGAAUCUCAGGGUAUCUGUCUGUGAACUCAAGCUUAACUGUAAGUGGGCCUUGCAGCAGAGACAACGACCUUAAGCACACAUGUACGUCUACAGAGAAAUGGUUAAAGCAGAAGAAAUUGAACAUUUUGGAAUGGAAAGUCAGACCUUAACCCGAUAGAAACAUUGUGGAAGGACCUAAAAAGAGCAGUUCAUGCAUAGAAGCCUGCCAGCAUCAUUGAGUUGAAGCAGGAGGAGUGAGCCAAAAUUCCUCAAACCCAUUGUGCAGGAUUGAUUGAGUCAUCGGAAAUGUUUGCUUCAAGUUAUUGCUGCUGGAAGGUCUCACACCGGUUACUGAAAUAAAAGUUUACAUACUUUUUUCAGCAAAGAUGUCUAAUGUUGGGUAAUUGUGCUCAGUGAAUAAAUGUGAAAACUAUAAUGCAUUUGUUUAAUUGGGUUCUCUUUAUCUAGUUUUAGGGCUUGGAUGGAAGUUCUGUUCACAUUUCAGGUCAAAUGAAUUUAAUUUUAUACUUGUUCGUAGUCUUUUUUUAUUUUUGGCUAUCAAAUCUUUAUAUUUUUAUCUUUCAUAUAUUUUCUGGAUUGUUCUGGUAAAGUCUUGAAAUUGCUACUCCUGAAAUCAAAACUGGUGUUUCGAGAUGUUUUUGUACCUUUAUGGCCUCCAAUACCAUAGUUUAAAAAUAAAUAAUUUAAAAAGUCACUUUUGGGGAAAAAUGAUACAAUUUUAAUGCUUCAACAUGCAAUAGACUUGUGUUCGUCCAAUUAAAUGCUCUCUAGAAUGUGUAGGAAUGUGUGGGUCUUGAGGCGGGUCUUGCUCAACAGUAGCAGCUCAUUAGCAUCAAUGUUCUUCAGAGCUGG